UGGGGAAUAUUUCACAAUGGGCGCAAGCCUGAUGCAGCCAUGCCGCGUGUAUGAAGAAGGCCUUCGGGUUGUAAAGUACUUUCAGCGGGGAGGAAGGGAGUAAAGUUAAUACCUUUGCUCAUUGACGUUACCCGCAGAAGAAGCACCGGCUAACUCCGUGCCAGCAGCCGCGGUAAUACGGAGGGUGCAAGCGUUAAUCGGAAUUACUGGGCGUAAAGCGCACGCAGGCGGUCUGUCAAGUCGGAUGUGAAAUCCCCGGGCUCAACCUGGGAACUGCAUUCGAAACUGGCAGGCUAGAGUCUUGUAGAGGGGGGUAGAAUUCCAGGUGUAGCGGUGAAAUGCGUAGAGAUCUGGAGGAAUACCGGUGGCGAAGGCGGCCCCCUGGACAAAGACUGACGCUCAGGUGCGAAAGCGUGGGGAGCAAACAGG
rnacentral:rRNA from 1 species